rnacentral:rRNA from 1 species
AGAACGAACGCUGGCGGCAUGCCUAACACAUGCAAGUCGAACGAGACCUUCGGGUCUAGUGGCGCACGGGUGCGUAACGCGUGGGAAUCUGCCCUUAGGUACGGAAUAACAGUGAGAAAUUACUGCUAAUACCGUAUGAUGUCUUCGGACCAAAGAUUUAUCGCCUAGGGAUGAGCCCGCGUUGGAUUAGCUAGUUGGUGGGGUAAAGGCCUACCAAGGCGACGAUCCAUAGCUGGUCUGAGAGGAUGAUCAGCCACACUGGGACUGAGACACGGCCCAGACUCCUACGGGAGGCAGCAGUGGGGAAUAUUGGACAAUGGGCGAAAGCCUGAUCCAGCAAUGCCGCGUGAGUGAAGAAGGCCUUCGGGUUGUAAAGCUCUUUUACCCGGAAGAUAAUGACUGUACCGGGAGAAUAAGCCCCGGCUAACUCCGUGCCAGCAGCCGC